rnacentral:rRNA from 1 species
GAUGAACGCUGGCGGCGUGCCUAACACAUGCAAGUCGAACGGGAUAAGAGAUGCUUGCAUUUCUUAUCAAGUGGCGGACGGGUGAGUAACGCGUGGAUAAUCUGCCCUACACAGGGGGAUAACAGCCGGAAACGGCUGCUAAUACCGCAUAGACUGAGCUUUCGCAUGAGAGAACAGGGAAAGAUUUAUCGGUGUAGGAUGAAUCCGCGUCCGAUUAGCUAGUUGGAGGGGUAACGGCCCACCAAGGCGACGAUCGGUAGCCGGCCUGAGAGGGCGACCGGCCACAUUGGGACUGAGACACGGCCCAG